UGGCGGACGGGUGAGUAUGUCUGGGAAACUGCCUGAUGGAGGGGGAUAACUACUGGAAACGGUAGCUAAUACCGCAUAACGUCGCAAGACCAAAGAGGGGGACCUUCGGGCCUCUUGCCAUCGGAUGUGCCCAGAUGGGAUUAGCUAGUAGGUGGGGUAACGGCUCACCUAGGCGACGAUCCCUAGCUGGUCUGAGAGGAUGACCAGCCACACUGGAACUGAGACACGGUCCAGACUCCUACGGGAGGCAGCAUG
rnacentral:rRNA from 1 species